rnacentral:rRNA from 1 species
GUGAGGAAUAUUGGUCAAUGGGCGAGAGCCUGAACCAGCCAAGUCGCGUGAAGGAAGAAGGAUCUAUGGUUCGUAAACUUCUUUUGCAGGGGAAUAAAGUGCAGGACGUGUCCUGUUUUGUAUGUACCCUGAGAAUAAGGAUCGGCUAACUCCGUGCCAGCAGCCGCGGUAAUACGGAGGAUCCGAGCGUUAUCCGGAUUUAUUGGGUUUAAAGGGUGCGUAGGUGGUUUGAUAAGUCAGCGGUGAAAGUUUGCAGCUUAACUGUAAAAAUGCCGUUGAAACUGUCGGACUUGAGUGUAAAUGAGGUAGGCGGAAUGCGUGGUGUAGCGGUGAAAUGCAUAGAUAUCACGCAGAACUCCGAUUGCGAAGGCAGCUUACUAAGCUACAACUGACACUGAAGCACGAAAGCGUGAGGAUCAAACAGGAUUAGAUACCCUAGUAGUCC